AGCAAUCUUGAUGAAGUUUUCGGAUGGAAUCAGGAUUGACUUAGUGGCGGACGGGUGAGUAACGCGUGGAUAACCUGCCUUGCACUGGGGGAUAACACUUAGAAAUAGGUGCUAAUACCGCAUAAGCGCACGGAGCCGCAUGGCUCAGUGUGAAAAACUCCGGUGGUGUAAGAUGGAUCCGCGUCUGAUUAGCUGGUUGGCGGGGUAGAAGCCCACCAAGGCGACGAUCAGUAGCCGGCCUGAGAGGGUGAACGGCCACAUUGGGACUGAGACACGGCCCAAACUCCUACGGGAGGCAGCAGUGGGGAAUAUUGCACAAUGGGGGAAACCCUGAUGCAGCAACGCCGCGUGAGUGAAGAAGUCAUUCGUGAUGUAAAGCUCUAUCAGCAGGGAAGAAAAUGACGGUACCUGACCAAGAAGCCCCGGCUAACUACGUGCCAGCAGCCGCGGUAAUACGUAGGGGGCAAGCGUUAUCCGGAUUUACUGGGUGUAAAGGGAGCGUAGACGGCAGCGCAAGUCUGGAGUGAAAUCCCAUGGCUUAACCAUGGAACUGCUUUGGAAACUGUGCAGCUGGAGUGCAGGAGAGGUAAGCGGAAUUCCUAGUGUAGCGGUGAAAUGCGUAGAUAUUAGGAGGAACACCAGUGGCGAAGGCGGCUUACUGGACUGUAACUGACGUUGAGGCUCGAAAGCGUGGGGAGCAAACAGGAUUAGAUACCCUGGUGGUCCACGCUGUAAACGAUGAUUACUAGGUGUUGGGGGACCAAGGUCCUUCGGUGCCGUCGCAAA
rnacentral:rRNA from 1 species